CUGUUUACUGUCCUAGAAAACAUGAUCCAUUCCUCUUAUAGCCUUAUGAUUAAUAUUGACAAGAACUCAUAAUCUGUCUAAAUACAUUGACAGGAGCUGCCAUAAUUUUCUAUGCCUCAACAUGGACUCAAAAUUUAUUUUCACAUCUAUACUGAAUCACAGUUUUUCCAAUAUGUGAAACAUAUAUUGUACAUAUAAAGACUCAUAGAAUAACUGAGACUUCUCAGUUUGUCCAUUUCUAUUGUAGUGCCAAAAUGUGAAUUUUGGAGCCUAGCUCUGGACAGGCAACUAAGCCCUUUGGUUUUGGGUUGUAUUUUCUUAAACAUAGUAUUGUGUAGUAAUGUGCCACUUUAUAAAGACAAAGAAUACAGGAAAACAAAUAACCAAGUUGUUGAUUCCCACCACAGAUUCCCUGCCUGAAAGGAAAGCUCUCCAUAAAGAAAGUUAAUAACCCUGGUCUGCCUGCCUUCCUGAGACAGGACAUCACUCAGAUGCUGGUACAAAUUCAUUGGCUAUACAUAUAUCUCUUGCAAUAUUUAUUCAUUUUCCUGCUGUCAGUAGUGACAAAUUGUUUCCUUGCAUUCUUGGGUUAGAAAUGGGCUGCUUUAUUUUUUUUUUCUUAUAUACCUCCCAACACCUUAGUCACUUCCAUAGCAGUUACAGAACUCAGAGCAACAGCAUUUUAUUAAACAUGUAGCAACAAAAAUCACUGUAAAAUAUCAAGGCUAAAGAAGAAUCUUCAUGAAGCCUUUCACAAAUCCGCUCAUAUCCCAUCACAUAGGUUUUUUUUUUAAAUAAAACAAAAUCAAAACCAAUGAUAACAAGCUCAACAAAACAACAAAACCAACAACUCCCCCAUUGUUCUAUGACUAUACAUAAAGAAUUUUAAUAGUGCAAAAAUAAAACAUGGGCAAGAAUAUUUUUCAGCCUUUUCAAUAGAACUUUUUCUGAUAUUCACACAUAACAAAGUCCAGCAUCAAAACUGUAGUUUAAAACUAAAAGUUAAAGAACAAAACAAAGAAAGUGUACAGCAAAAGCUCUACUGAACAAUGAGCUCCAGAAAUGACAGCCUGAAAGACAUUCAUAAAAAUAAAAGGGCAGAUCCGUUAGUUGGACCAAUAAAUUAGUCAGCUAUGGUCCUCCAGAGCAUUCAGUGACAAGGAAAAAGCGAAAUUCUGGAUGCUGAAAGAUCAAAGAAAAUUAAGUAAAUUCCACACAAAUCCAGGAGACUAUCUUAAAAUUUUAGUACAAACAUGACUCCCAAGGGCCCAUUAAAGCCCCAAAUUAUUCUAAGAUUCUACAAUUCCACCAUGCUGAGUCAAAAGCAUCUUCCUUUCAUGUCAUAAAGCAGUUCUUUGCCUGAGUUUUGUGCACUGUAGAAUGAGGGCAGGUGAGUCUUCACCUUUUAUUUGCUGCAUGUCAUCAACUACAACUACAGUGCUGUAAAUCCACAUUUUAUUUUCUCUGUUGGACUCAUUGGUUUUUUAAAAACUAAACUACCAUGAAAAAUACUCACAAAAUAUUAAAUAAGCAUGAACAUUUCAACUGAACUACUUGAGAAAGUAUUAACUUUUAGAUGUUCUCUAGCUUGUUCUGUAGGAAAAGGAUCCAUAGAGAUUACUUAAGACAAAGAAAUCAAAACAGAAUAAUUUCAUUGUGAAAACCAGGAAACAUUGCAUUCUUGAUAGCCACUCUCCUUUUUAUGCAAAAGCUUUAUUGCAUUACAUUUCUGAGCAUUAUUUCAGUAUGUUUUAAAUAGUUUUUCAGAGUUUAUAGACUGUAUCAAAGCAUAUCAAAUCAACCAGAACAUAGAUGUUUGCCAUUCUACUCUCUAGCACAAUCCUAUUUUGAACAUUUCAUAUUUUGCCAUUUCUAAGUCUUCAGACAGUUUUCCCUCUCCUGUAUCUGAAAUUGUGUUUAGUGCUGUCUGGAGCAAGGUGGUAGUGAUAAUAUUAAAUUUUACAGUUUCACAGACUGAUACACUUUACUUCACCAAAUAGAAACAGUUCCAUUAAGGGAAACACAAACCGCACUAAUAAUGUGUGCCCCAGCUGUGACUGUGAAGGUGAGAAGGCAGAUUUAUUUUCUUUUGCAUUCAAGGCUUGACGCAAGUCCCAUUUGAAAAAUUCGAAAAUAUUCAAACUUUUGUGAACAUCCUUGAUACUUAACUAAUAUGUGAUUUGUGUUCAGUGGUUCAUGGAGAUACAAACAUGUUGGAAUUUUUUUCCUUUAGAUUUGUUCUACAUCACUCAAACUUUGGGCUUGGUUAACAAAUUGGGGCAAGAGAAUGCUGACCUCCUUAGCAAUCACUGUGGGUGAUUUUCCCAUUUCAUCGAUCAGCUGGUACCUUUCCUGUAUUCCAUCACUGUUACACCUGCAGCUUCCUUCCUUGGAGACUUCCCAUCUCUGCUGUCCAGCCACAAGGAGCACUAAGUUCUCUUCAGGAGGUGAAGAGUCCUUAAACCAGGACAAAAACCAGGACAGUUUGGCACCUCCUGCCAGUUUCAUCUUGUCGAUCUGUAAAUUAUCUGUUCCGUACAGCCUGAGAGGAAUCAACCCAUGGGGCCCGACUUUAUCAGGCCUGUAUUUCGGGAGCUGGUUUGGGCAGGGCUGGGGAAACAGGAGGCUUUGGGUAGAGGAAAAUCGCUGGAGCAAAGCUGCGAGAUUGGGCCCUCAGUCCCCGAGCCCUCCCCGCCGCCGGCACCGCGGCAGAACCACAGCAUGAGACCCGGGCCCUCACAGGCCACGGCACGGGCCGGCCUGGCAGAAGGUUCCAGGAGCUUCCAGAGGCUGAGGGAGGCUCCGCAGCCCCCACGGCGCCAGGGCGGGCCCUGCUCCUCCCUCCAUGUGCCCACAGCGCCCGGGAAGCGGCCGGAGCGGGGGGGAGGGGAGCCCACCCGAACCGGAGACAUUAAGCAAAGCCGCACAGCGAAUCCUGAUCGGUUCACGUUGGGUUCAAAUCAAUGAAGUUUACCCCAGGAAAAGCGAGGUGUGCUGUCUGGCCGAUACUUGUCUCGAAUAUUCUCUGAGGGGGGCCACGGGCGGCCUCAGUGCUGCCCGUCCCUGCUCGCAGACCCGGCGGCUUUGCCCUCAGAGUGAUGGGUGGGACUAUUCUGACAACAGUGCAUCGAGGGGGGAGCUCAAUUCGUGACCUUGUACUUCCCUGUGCCUGGUUAAUUACUGUAUUACCCUGGAGAUUUUUAAACCAUUUCAGAUUCUCCCUGAAUCACCAGAUCCAGGAGUUAAUGCAUUCCCUACUACACCGCUGCAGCAUUUCUGAUUGCAUAGAUUCCACCAUUCUGCAGAAACAAAGUUAUCAUAGAAAAAAAUCUGAAAAACUAUUAUCUGUUGAGCCUUUGAGAACUUCACUUGAUAUUGAAGCAGAUAAACACUGACCUGGAACUCUGAGGUGCCUGUUUCUAGUCCAGCCUGAGGAGAACAACUGGAAUCCAAGCUACUCGUUUUCGCUACAGCGCAACAGCUGUUCUGUGGGAUGUUUCACCUUUGCAAGGAGCUGAGAGGAGGGCAGUAUAAAAUUGGAGAUGUCUGUGUACAAGAACAGAUGGAUCCAUAGGUCUAGGAAGAAGAGCAAGAAUAAAUCCUCAAGAGAUGCUUCUUUCAAAGAUACCUGCAAACAAGCUUGGGACCUUGUGUGCCAUAUUUUAUUGGUGUGAAACAGCUAUCCAGAAUGCAUUCCUGUUGGUCCUGGAUCAGUUAUUCAAAUAAAGGACUGUAGUCUGGUG